rnacentral:lncRNA from 1 species
GACGAUAAAGUUGUAGCCAUCUUGUUUCUCUGGAAAAAAAUUCUAGACUACCUUACGAUUUAUGUCAUAUUUCUAUCUUCACAAUAGUCAACAACGAUGCAUAUAAAGCUCCUCUUAUCCAUUCAAACAACAUGUAUAUUACAUGGUGUAAAAGAAAUGGAAGAUGAUUCGAAGAGCAAAAAAGAGACGUUUUAUGAUUUCAAAUAUAAAUGUAUUCAGAAUUUGUACAAUUGUAUGAAAUGAAAUGAAAUUUUAUGCAAAAUAUGAAAGACUGAAGUUAAAAUUUA